rnacentral:rRNA from 1 species
UACGGAGGGGGCGAGUGUUGUUCGGAAUUACUGGGCGUAAAGCGUGCGUAGGUGGUUCGUUAAGUCUGAUGUGAAAGCCCUGGGCUCAACCUGGGAAUGGCAUUGGAAACUGGCGACCUAGAGUGCGGUAGAGGGUAGUGGAAUUCCCGGUGUAGCAGUGAAAUGCGUAGAGAUCGGGAGGAACAUCUGUGGCGAAGGCGACUACCUGGACCAGCACUGACACUGAGGCACGAAAGCGUGGGGAGCAAACAGG